rnacentral:tRNA from 1 species
GGCCAGAUAGCUCAGUUGGUAGAGCAGAGGACUGAAAAUCCUUGUGUCGGGAGUUCAAAUCUCUCUCUGGCCA